rnacentral:lncRNA from 1 species
AUGCAACAGGAAUUAUACUUACCAUAGUUAUACAUCCAUCAUUUAAUAACACAAGCACACAGCCAAUUCACAUAAACAUAUACCUAUCACAUACAAACUCAACCUCAUACAAAUUCAUUACAAAGAUAAAUGAUUGAUGAGCUCAUCAAUUCCAUGAUUUCCAUUUCCUUGUUAUUUUUCCAUAUUUAUCCCGUUGAACUACUUGGAAUUUCGAUGGAUAUUCAGGGGUACACCUAAGUGUACAAAUCCGGGUCCGUCAAUUCAUAUUCAUGUGCGCACAUUUCCAUUUCAGAGAGCACACUCCCGCGAACCUUAUCCUUACAGCGGGAUUACCAGUCCAGGCUAAAUCCCCUGUAAUAUAAACUCACAGAGUAUUGUCGGGAUUACCAGUCCAGGCUAAAUCUCCUGCAACGAUAAUUACUCUAAUGAGCUUGGAUCUGAAUUACCAGUCCAGGCUAAAUUCAGACCCUAAUUCGGAUUACCCGUCCGGGCUAAAUCUAUUUUCCACAUAUUCUUCGGGAGGGCUAUAUCAGGAUAGGAUCACCCGUCCGGGCUAGAUCCUUUUUAUCGUCAAUUCCUUUUCAGAGAUCCAUCAAAUUUUCCUUUCAUUCAACCGGGAUUUAUUUCCUCUUUUCAUCCAGAAUAUCAAUACUUCAUCAGUUAUCAUACAAUAAACAUCCAAAUCAUAUUCACAUCAAUAACAAACAUUUCAAGCAUUUAUGAAUAUAAUUCAAGUUACACGAACUUACCUCGACAAUUGUUCGUAAACAAAAAUCUACUAAUCCCGAACUUUUUCUUUUCCUUGAUCUUGCUUCGUAUUUGAAUUUUCCGGAUCUAAAUAAAUAAAUUUAAUCAUUAAUCUAAUACAUUUCAUGUUCAUAUGUAACUUUCUCUACAAUUCCAUUAUUAUUUAUAGUGCAUUCAAAGCUGCCUCACUGAGUCACAGUCACUAAAUUAUUUAUAUCUUGAGCUACGGAACUCCAAAUUAAGAUCCGUUAAUUUUCCCUGAAACUAGACUCACAUAUAUUCUUACCAUAAAAAUUUCAGAAUUUUUGGUUUAGCCAAUAAGUACAGUUUAUUCUUUAAAGUUUCCCCUGUUUCACUGUAUGACAGUUCUGACCCCUCUUCACUAAAAAUUAAUUAUCUCACUGUACAGAAUUAGGAUGAUGCUUCCCUUUAUUUCUUCAGAAAAUAGACUCAUUAAGGAUUCCAAGCAUAUAAAUUAUAACUCAUAAUAAUUUUUUUACAAUUUUUAAUGAUUUUCCAAAGUCAGAACAGGGGAACCCGAAUUCAUUCUGACCUUGUCUCACAAAAUCUAUUAUAUCUCAUGAUUUACAAUUUCAUUGCUUACACCGUUUCUUUUAUAAGAAACUAGACUCAAUAAGCUUUAAUUUCAUAUUUUAUUCAUCCUCUAAUUCAAUCUCUACAAUUUUUGGUGAUUUUUCAAAGUCAGAGUACUGCUGCUGUCCAAAACUGUUUUAGUGCAUGGUGUUAAUUACCAUUUUUCCCUUAAACUUUCAACAAUGAUAAUUUCGUCCCUGCUCAAUUAACCUCUCAAUUGAGCUGAUUUUUCUCAAUCAACACUUUAUUAUAUCACUUUAAACUACCUUAUAACCUUUGGAAAUCAUAAUUUCAGCACUAAACUUUAAUUCCAAACUUUUUCACAAUUAGGUCCUACAAAUCAAUUUCUAUUGGAAUUACCUAAUAAAAUCAUCUCAUAAACAAAUUAAAGCAUCAAUUUCAUCCUAUUUCCUCAUAAAAUUCCAGCACAUAUUCAUAUCAACUUUCAAAUUCAUUCAUAAAAUCAAAAACUAAUGAAUUUAGUAAUAGGACCUAGUUGUAAAAGUCUUAGAAACACAAAAAUUACAAGAAAAAGGCAAGAAUUAACUCACUUGGUGCAAAAAUUAUGAAAAACCAGCUUGAAGAAACCCUUAAGAUGUUUUUUGGCUGAUGAGAGUGCAGAAAAAUAAAG